UACGUAGGGGGCAAGCGUUGUCCGGAAUCAUUGGGCGUAAAGCGCGUGUAGGCGGCCUUGUAAGUCCGUUCUGAAAGCCCGGGGCUCAACCCCGGGAGGCGGAUGGAUACUGCAAGGCUCGAGUACGGAAGAGGCGAGUGGAAUUCCCGGUGUAGCGGUGAAAUGCGCAGAUAUCAGGAGGAACACCAAUGGCGAAGGCAGCUCGCUGGGACGUGACUGACGCUGAGACGCGAAAGCGUGGGGAGCAAACAGG
rnacentral:rRNA from 1 species